rnacentral:rRNA from 1 species
GCAGUCGAGAAUAUUAGUCAAUGCUCGUAAGAGUGAACUAGCUAACUGAAAUCAUAGAAUUUUUUCAAAUUCAUGAUGUCGUAAGGGAAAAUAAUGAUAAUACCUUACUAUGAGUGUCGUCCAAAUCUGGUGCCAGAAGACUCGGUAAGACCAGAGACGCAAACGUUAAUCAUCAUAAACAGGCGUAAAGGGUUUGUAGGCAGCUUUUAUAAAAAUAUCAAAAACUAAAUUAAAAGCUAGAAUCAAAAAGAGGUUAUAGUGUAUAACGCCUAGAGGAGGGCUGAUAUCCAUAGAUCCUAGGCAGAAUACUCAGGGCGAAGGCCACUCUCCACUAAUGAUUGACGCUGAGAAACGAAGGUUAGGGUAGGAAAUAGGAUUAGAUACCCCGGUACUCCUUUCUGUAAACGAUGAAUGGUAGUCAUUAGUUAAAUUAAAAUAACUAGAGGCGAAGUUAACACAAUAACCAUUCCGCCUUGUGAGUACUACUGCAAAGUAGAAAACAAAAAAAUUAGUCGGUCUCGAAGCAAACGGAGUAAAGCAUGUUAUUUAAUACGAUAAUCCGCGUAAAACCUUUCCAGAACUUGCAUACAAACUAUAAAUUUUCUUUCCUGAAAAGGUAGAGGGA